ensembl:lncRNA
UGUCCAGAGAGGGAGCUGGCAGCCUUGCGGUGGUGUUGAUUGAGAAGAGAUUCCAGGGGUCUCCUUCACCAGGGAAGCGGGAGGCCUGAUGCUCUCCGAAGUCCUGUGGGUCAGAGAUGUGGUCCAGACAGCGCGGGCUUUCUCUUCCACGCAGGAUGCCUUUCCGUGCUGCAUCUCUUUCCUGCGUAGUUUUCAGAGUGGUAAAAUCAAGAUCUUCAGCCCCAGCUCCUACUCAGUGUUUGCAAAGACACGGAGCAGAAAUGUCCUCCUCUCCUUGUAACAGGCCUCAUUUCCAGCAGUGAAAGUUCUGGAGACAUUUGAACGAAGGUAUCGACUGAGCCAUUUAGAAAGGAGGGAAAUUGGAGGGACGUACCCAAGCAGGUUCCCUGCCAUUCGUUUAUAAAUGACCUAUUUUUCCUCCUCUGAUUCUCCAGCCAGCCUUGGGGGUCUAGUGGUUAAGAUCCAGCACUCUCGCUGGCACGGUCUGGGUUCCUUUCCCCUCAGGGAGCUGCAUCCCCCAUCUGUGUGUGCCUGUGAUGCUGAAAGCUGUGCCACAGUGUUUCCAGUACCAGCAGGGUCAUCUGUGGUGGACAGGUUUCAGCAGGGCUUCCAGACUGAAACAGACCAGGAAGGACCUGGCCACCCACUUCCAAAAACAGUGGCCAUGAAAACCCUGUGAAUAGCAGCAGAGCACUGUCUGAUGGAGCACCAGAAGAAAAGAUUCCCUGCCUGAUGCCACUGCAGCCGAGUUCUCCUGCCCAGAGCGUCAGGCGUCUGCGUGGACACAGUUGCUCUGUUUAGGUGGCGAAUCAGUGCUCCCCACGUUCAGUACUUCCCAGGAUGCAGGGGAGAGGACUAAGAAUUGGGGAGCGGACUCAGAGUCCAGAGGUUGAUCUGUAUAAAGAGGUGGAAGACAAGUAUACACGUCUUAGGGCCAGCUGGAUGCCUGAGCUGAGCCCUAGCUGUGAUGGCUCCAUUCACACUGCCAGCCCUCCCAAGCUGUAGAUUUUGUCAGCGUCACUCACAAGGCGGGAACUGGCGAAGACAGUCUUGAGAAAGUGGAUGAUUAAGUGAAGGGUUAAGCACAGCAUGUCCUCCCUUAGUCUUCCAGGCAAAGGCAAUCUUGCUACUGUGGGGCACUCACCCGUCCACUGAGCCAGGGCACGGGCAGGCGGGAUGGCAAAGACACUCUGAUGCCCAUGACAGAGGGGCCCACUGAAUUCCUGCCUAGGGAGAGAAGCACACCUGACUCCAUCCAGUUCCGAGCUCGACUUGAGCAGUGUCUUCAUUAACUGCUGUUCUGUGAUCAUAAAAUAAAAUUCUUAGGAAGGACCUUAGAGAUCAUCUAGUCCAACCUACUCAGUUGCCAGAUGAGAAAACUGAGAUCAUACAACUAUCUGGAAGAAAACUAGGAUUUAACUGGUUUUUGACAUGCCCCCCAUCCCCAUGCAAUGCUUCCCCCUUGUACCAUAAUCACCUUCAAUUCGCACACACAGUCCCUCGAAUGUCCAUGGUACUGACAGCUAAGGCAUUUCUCCUAGUCUGGCAGCUCCUGUGUGAUGCCAUGGGGCCAACUGGGUGGGCACCACCAGUAUAAUCUAUGUUUAAAUGAUAGUAGCAGCUUCCAUGUCACUGCCGUCACACCGGGGGGUGCACAUGUCAGCCGUUAGCCGUGCCUGCUCUGUGUCACUGCGCUCACAUCGGGUUGCACGCGUCAGUGGUUAGCGCUGCCUCCUUCCAGAGCACAGCCCUUUCACGCGGUGGCCUCCUCUCUGCACGCAGCACAUACAGGACGGAGAUACAUGGAUCUGCUUUAGUGGGAGCAGUCACGGGGGCUGCUUUCCACCCGCCGAGCAAUCUCUGAACAACCGCGAGCAAACCUUGAGGUUCUAAGAAACAAGUUUGAGAAUCACUUCUUACAUUAUUUUUAGAAUUCCCCAAUUAUCCGAUGCAGUGGUAUUAUUUUUCCCACUUUUCAUUUGAGAAAACUUAGGUGAAGAGAGGUUAGUUAACUUGAAGGUGGCAGAGCAAGGAUUCGAGCUCACGCUGGUCUGAUUCUUAAAUUCACGCUCACGAUCGCUCUACCCUAGCGCCUGCCAAUGGAAUGAAAUGAACCCGCCCACCGUGAAAAAGAAGUCCCCCAGGAAUUUCUUGGAUUUUCAGAUUCCAUCUGCUUAUAUUGUCUCCCUAGAAAUCCUGGUGACAUGUUUAUUAACG